rnacentral:rRNA from 1 species
AUUGAACGCUGGCGGCAGGCCUAACACAUGCAAGUCGAGCGGAUGAAGGGAGCUUGCUCCUGGAUUCAGCGGCGGACGGGUGAGUAAUGCCUAGGAAUCUGCCUGGUAGUGGGGGAUAACGUCCGGAAACGGGCGCUAAUACCGCAUACGUCCUGAGGGAGAAAGUGGGGGAUCUUCGGACCUCACGCUAUCAGAUGAGCCUAGGUCGGAUUAGCUAGUUGGUGGGGUAAAGGCCUACCAAGGCGACGAUCCGUAACUGGUCUGAGAGGAUGAUCAGUCACACUGGAACUGAGACACGGUCCAGACUCCUACGGGACGCAGCAGUGGGGAAUAUUGGACAAUUGGCGAAAGCCUGAUCCAACCAUGCCGCGUGUGUGAAGAAGGUCUUCGGAUUGUAAAUCACUUUAAGUUAGGAGUAAGGGCAGUAAGUUAAUACCUUGCUGUUUUGACGUUACCAACAGAAUAAGCACCGGCUAACUUCGUG